CCCUUAGAUGUUCUGGGCUGCACGCGCGCUACACUGGUGCGUUCAGCGAGUUUAGCACCUUAACAGAUAUGUUUGGGUAAUCUUCUGAAAACGUACCGUGAUGGGGAUCGAUUAUUGUAAUUAUUAAUCGUCAACGAGGAAUUCCUAGUAAGUGUGAAUCAUCAGUUCGCGCUGAUUACGUCCCUGCCCUUUGUACACACCGCCCGUCGCUGCUACCGAUUGAGUGGUCCGGUGAAUUAUUCGGACCGGUGGACUGUGGGGAAACCCGCGGCCUGCUGGGAAGUCUUGUGAACCUUAUCACUUAGAGGAAGCAGAAGUCGUAACA
rnacentral:rRNA from 1 species